GAUGAACGCUGGCGGCGUGCCUAAUACAUGCAAGUCGAGCGAACAGAUGAGGAGCUUGCUCCUCUGACGUUAGCGGCGGACGGGUGAGUAACACGUGGAUAACCUACCUAUAAGACUGGGAUAACUUCGGGAAACCGGAGCUAAUACCGGAUAAUAUAUUGAACCGCAUGGUUCAAUAGUGAAAGACGGUUUUGCUGUCACUUAUAGAUGGAUCCGCGCCGCAUUAGCUAGUUGGUAAGGUAACGGCUUACCAAGGCAACGAUGCGUAGCCGACCUGAGAGGGGGAUAGGCCACACGGGAACUGAGACACGGUCCAGACUACUACGGGAGGCAGCAGUAGGGAAUCUUCCGCAAUGGGCGAAAGCCUGACGGAGCAACGCCGCGUGAGUGAUGAAGGUCUUCGGAUCGUAAAACUCUGUUAUUAGGGAAGAACAAAUGUGUAAGUAACUAUGCACGUCUUGACGGUACCUAAUCAGAAAGCCACGGCUAACUACGUG
rnacentral:rRNA from 1 species